ACAAGCUCCUCCCCUUUCCCCUCGCCCCGCCUCCUCUCCCACUCGCUCUGCCUUGGAACUUCCAGUCCACGCCCAGGAAGCCACCCACCAGCUGCAUACUAUCACCUCCCAAACCUGUCCCUGUCCAGGCCGACAUGUCAGUGCCCAGACUCAGCAGGGCCAAGACCAGCCCCAUCGUCUCCCUCUCCACCCACAGGCUUGUCCAGGCACCUGGACCACACCGCCAUGAUUCCCCAUCGAAUGAGUCACCAGGGUUUGUUCUAGCAGCGCCCACAUGAGCGGCCGUCCUCCGCAUUCACACUCCGCCCCAGCUCCAGAGCUCGUUUGCUCUCCUGGGACCUCACAGAAGCCUCCCGGUGGCCUUGCCUCCCGCCCUCCGCCCUCUGCCCCCUGCACGGUCCCAUGGAGGUUUCCUGGAAAGUCAGGUCUGGGCAUCUCAGUCCCGGCCCGGGGUCUCCCCCAGCCCCGCACGGUGAGCACGAUGCUGUUCCCACGCCGAAGCGGCCUGUCUCGAUAUUUGUCACAUAUUGUGUGAAUCACACGGAUUCUUCCAAACAGAGCAGCCGACAUAGUUCACCUGCGAUGGCCCAGGGCCACCACCGUGGGUCCCCACGACGGGCUGUGUUGUAACAGAGUGGGGUCCGCGGGGUUCCUCAGGCCCCCAGGCUGUUCACCUCUCCACCGAGCCCCAGUCCCAUCAGAGCUGCUGCUUCCCCGUCCUCUGUUCUCACCGUCGGCCCGUUUAAACCCAACGCCAUCUCCCGCAUUUCUGAUCUUCCGACCUUUGUGUCUGUGGAUAUAAACACGGCUGUGAGACCGGUGAUCCUCUUUUUGCACGUAAUUCUAAAUCGGUGGGCUCCAGUCUGAGGACUUCUCCUCUGAAUCAGAGUGCACGUGCUUCCUAACAGCCGUGCUGCUCUCCGAUUACUCUUCCCCUCGUGCGGGGAACGUGAUGGUGUUCUCGGAGCAGCACGAUGGCUUACGAGCUUGGAUGAUGUGGUCUGCUCGAGGUUUGGUGAACUGACUUAGGCAUUCAGCCGUGUGUCCAUCAGACAACAAGAAAUAAAUGCAGAAACCCCAAUCCGUGGCCUUGUUGUUUCCCUCUUAACCCGUGUACUCUCUCUGGAAGUUCUCCUCGAAUGAACCCGAAGGCCAGUCCUCCGGGGAUGCAGGGGUCCCAACCCAGGCUCCGCGGUCCCCAUGCCCACCAGCACCGACAAAGUGUGCUGAUCCCGAUUCCUUGAGGGGUUGCCCUAAUCGCGAAGGCUACAGAAUGGGUCAGACGUUAGGGACUGCAUAAAGAAAUCAAACACCUCUCAUAGAGCCUGGGUGAGGACAGAGAAAACCAGCUCAGGGCUGGCAGAAAUUCCUGAGAAUGUGACACUCAGCAUUGAGGCCACCAGGCUUGUCACUAUGGACCUUGAUUGUUUUUCAAGGAGAAUUUGAGGAAGGAAGAGGAUCUUUCCGACAUUGUAAUAAUUGUAGAAAGAAGCCAAAGAACUACCAUGAUUGAGGGCAUUUUGUCUCAAAGCCCACGUGCUCUGAUGCGUGUGUGUGUGUGUCUGUAUAUCUGUAUCUUCCGUCUCCUAAGGUAAGCCCUUUAAAGGUUUGUAUCAUCUUACAGCUCCUAACAUUGUGUUCUGAAUCUAAGACACUAACUAGAUUUUUAUUAACUGUUUCCCAGAGUAUCCAGGUGAUUUAAGUUCUACCUGAUAAAAGGAACCAUUUGAUAAGAAACAUCCUCUCGAUGGUGUUAUGUAUAUUUGGAAGCAUGUGGUAUUUGCCCAGGAAAGAAAGUGCACAUCUAAGGUGCUGGGGAAAGGCUGGGUCCCCUAGUGAGCCCUGCAGUUUUGCAUGUCCGGUAAAAUCUGGGUUCAGCCUGGACUUAGGAGGCAUCACACCACUUACUGAGUCACACACACACCCUUCUUGCGAUUCCUGUGUUUUCCCAAUCACCGUCUUCCCAAACCAGAUUCUGUGAGUACUAACAGCUGAAACUCACACAGCAAUGUGUUCUGCCAUAAAGCCCAUCAAUGGGGCUAGAAAAAUUACUUAACGUCAGAAGUCCCAGUGUAGGGCGGACCCUGGCGGGAUCUCCCGGGCUGCCCUCAGCACUAUAACAACGUGAAGCCCCUCCUCCAAAAGCAGCUGGGCUCGCCGCUCUCUCGUACAGCCGUCAGCGUCUUUUAAUUUUCUUCUCACCAGCCUCCAGUCCACCCAGAUAAUGGCCGGAUUCUUCUUGAAGGGACAUUUCCGUUUGAUGGAUCAAAUAUAAAGAGAAUAUAAAUAAGAAGAUGUGGGUAAGAACACAAAACAGCGCCCGAACCCGACAAGCAGGAGACAUUCACGUUCCGCCUUUGAAACCCUGCAGCCUAGCAAAGGCCUUGAGAGAGUCUGUCUCCCAAACAUACCCUCGUCUUUUGUGUUUCUUGAGCAUUGGUAGCGCAGGAGAAGGACCCUCGCAGGGAACCUGGGACGUGCUGUGAGGGGACAGCCCGGUGCAGCAGAGCAAAUGUGGGCUUCAGCGCCAGACAGAUCUGUUCCAAGACUGGCCUCACUGAGCCCCGGGGACCGAUGCAGGACACUGGCUGCUGCGUGGAGAAAAGUCUCUAAGGGCCGAGCAGGGAGGCGUCUGGAGGUCCCGCAGGCGGACACACGGGCGGUGAGAUCGCGGUGCCGGCACCACGUGGAGGCUGCGAGCAGAGGCUGCUUCUCCGUGUUUCCUGAAGGCCGAGCUGAUAGGAUUUGCUGACGGGUCGGUUCGCUGUGAAAGAGAAAGAAACGGUGCAGACGGGCCGGGAAAGUCGGCCCCUGGCCCUCACCGAGACAAGCCACGGGGGCACGGGGCUGAGAAGGACACGAGUCCAGGGGAGAAGCAGUCUCAGGUGGAGAGACUUCCAAGGCAGCAGGGCGAACUGGAAAAUGUCCGACAGCUGGCUCUCUGCGGGGAGAGCCCUGAUUUGCACCAUUUGCUUAUUUCUGACGGGCAGACACUCCCACCACAGGUGAGGCCAAGCCCGCAACAAUACUGAACGUGGCGCUGGGGACAGAUGUGCAGGACUGGCCCCGGAGAGCACCACGGCGGACGUGUGUGCCCGUGUGCUGCCACCAGGGAGCAUGUCACCCACACGGCCGUCACGUCUCCACAUGCCCCGUUGGCCCAAGGGCUUGAGGGACCGAUGGGUUCCUCUUCGUUUCAUCAGUGCAAAUGCAGAACCUGCAAGAGUUCAAUCAGCAUUCCUUGAACAGAACCGAGCUUCAUUUUAAUGCCGUAUUCAACCACGUGAAGAGUAAUGCGCAUCUCGCCAUCACACUGAACACUCAGGGCAGGCUCAUUCUUUAUAUAGUUGACGUGUGCUAGGCGCUGAAAUGAGUUAUUUAUUUCUAUAACACUUAGUGAAAUAAAUCCUCCUGAGGCUGCCUGUGUAAGAUCCCUUUUUAUAAGUAGUCAAAAUUGACCUUAAACUGAGCUGAGCAGCAUAGGAUUUUAGUUCUAAUAUCCUAAUGAUUUAGUAAUUAAUAACUUUUAUAUUAAUCAGAAGAAGAGUAUGGAAAAUAAACUAUUAAAUAAUAAUAAAAAGGAAGAGAGACUUUUCUUUUCUUUUUUUUUAUAAGUAGUGAGUUUCCAUCAAGGCAAGGAAUGAAUUACAAUCAAGGUCAUUUCCCAUCUAGCGGGUCCUUGUUGACUAAUUUCAGGUAGCUCCUCUGUAAAAUCGGUUCUGUCUGUCUCCACUCUUCAUACUCUGUUUUCUUUCUCUUUCUUUUUGCCACGCCACACAUCUUGCGGGAUCUUAGUUCCCCCACUGGGGAGUGAACCCGUGCCCCCUGCAGUGGAAGCGUGGACUCCCAACCACUGGGCCGCCAGGGGAGUCCCCAUACUCUGUUUUCCAAACUAAAAAUCAAUAACCUCUAACAAGGAGGCGCUAACCAACCCCUCCCUGCCACAGACUCUGCUGCCACGUGACUGGGCCUUUCCUAUCUCAUCUCACUUCCUACUCAGUGUCAUCGGCUUUCCUUCAUCCUAAUGCUAUCAAAGAAAUAGUGGAAAGAUGGCAGAUCGAAUGCAUGUUUUAUCUGUUCUCUCCCCCAAGCCCCAUUCAAAUGACCACAAAAUUAUGUAUUUAAAUGUCUAACUCCCCAAGGAUAAAAUCAGAGGAAAGACGGUAGCAGAUGAGACCGAACCAACAAAAUGUGGGAAUGGAGGGCCACGAGGGAGUGGCCAGCGCCGUCUCAGCAGCAGGGGAACAGCUGUGACCUCACUGCUGCAAGGGGGUCUGCAGUCACUUGCAAGUUCAUGUCCUUGGGCCUCCAGCAGGCUCUUGCUCAGAAGAAGGGACAAGGCCGAAGGGCAGAAGGGCCCUCGCUGACAGUGCAGGCGUGCAGGACAGGCAGCUGCUGGCGCCCCGUCCCCCUUCCUCAGAUCCCUCUCUGCUGAGAACUGAGAGCUGCGGGGGGAGGGGCAGAGUCCCUCUUGCCUGUUGCUUCUGGGGCAGGAGUAAGAGAGAGACCCAUCUGCUUCAGGAGCGACAAGGCAGAGCCUCUCCCAGGACAUGGAGGGAGGUGGAAGCAAAAAUCCUGGAGCACCACAGGAAGGGGAGGAAAAUGUUUGGGGUCCAGGAUCCUAUGUGUCUGCCAAGAAGUGGUCUGCAGCUGAUGAGGGAGGGGCAGGAAAAGCCUAUUCACGUCGGAUACAGGCAGUUUGGUUACCAAGGGGACAGGAAUGGGGGUGGGAGUGGGGAUCCAUCCCUGAGGCCAAGGUGCGCAGGGCCUGCCCAAGACUGAGACUGAAACAGGAGAGCAGAAACCCCCCUACCCCCGCCCCAAGCCACACACUUAGUAACAGUGGACGGCGGUCUACUGUGAGGGUCGGGGGGUGCCUUGGAGAGAGGCCCCUCCUCUAUGGUGCAGUAACGCAGGGACAGCUAAAGCUAGAAACUGGCGUCAGGGAAACUGAGAAAACCCUCUAGCAGCUGGGUCCCCUCUCUGAGCUCAGACACAACUGUGUCCUGUUGCCAGAGGCAGUGGAGGCCAGCGGUCCAAUGACGGUAACGACGGUAACGACGAAACCCAGACCCUGCUCAUCUACUCUACAUCUGCUAAGCCCUCCACACCAAGUCCUGACAGCAGACACAUGCCCAUCUCUGCGUAUAGAUUCUGUUUACCUAGGUCUCUGCUAUUCUUCUGCCUGCAAUGUCCUGUAUUCAAUCAAAAAUUACAAGACAUAUGUAAGAGCAAGAAAAAAACACCCAUUGUUAAGGGAUAAAGAGUCAACAGAAUGAGACUCAGAGGUGACCCAGAUGUUGUAACUACUUCUUUAAAAUAGUGAUUAAUCUGUUAAAAGAUCUACCAGACAAGGUGGACAGCAUGCGUGACGACUUUCAGCAGAGACAUGGGAACUGGAAUAAAGACUCAAGUGGAAGAACUGGAAGUGAAUAAACAUGACAUCAAAUUGAAGAACUCCUUUAAUGGAUGAAUCAGCAGACUGAACACACGCCAAGGAGAGACUCAGUGACUUGAUGGGAAGUAAACAGGCCAACCUUAGACUUCUCAGCAGCCACCUUAGAAUCUGGAAGACGAUGGUUACUACCUUCAACCACCAGUCGAGAAUGAGGUUAGAGACAGUUAUACGUGAAGGGUCUCAAAACAUUUGCUUUCCAUGCGCCUUUUCUCAGGAACUUCCUCAAGUGUUUUCUCCACCAAAACAAGGGAGUCAACAAAGAGAAAGGAGGAAGACAUGGGUUCUUUAGUCGGGAACCCAACAGACGUAAGAGGCAAAGCGAGUCUCCAGGACGACGGUGCAGGCGAGGUGGCUGAGCAUCUGGCCUGGAGGUCAGAGGAGGACAGAGGCUCCAGCAAGAGGAUCGCCAAGAAGAAAGUGGGGCUGGUGGAUACGGUUAUAGCGCCGAGCUUUCACCCAGGGUGGGAGAAAGCUAACUGGCCAGAGAAGCCCCAUCGGCCAUCCGUCCGACCAGCUGCCUGACAAGCUGACCUUCUCCUCGUUACGUCACCGCCCACCAGCAGGGCCACAUCUUGGAUCUUGUCAUCGCUCAGACCUGCUCCACCUCCAGAGACUUCCUGCCGGAGCUGCCUCUCCUGACACCUCCACACCUUCACACCCAUGGAACCUGCUCUUCCUCCCCGUCAGGAGUUCCGCUCCUGAGCCCGCCCUGUCCUCCUGUCCCCGUCACCUUCCUUUGAAGGCAAUCACCUGCUGCCCUUCCCGCUCAGAAUGGGAACUCCUUUACCUGUGGUUGAAGACACGACGAGGUCAUCAUGAUUGCACAUAGUGUUAACUUAGAAUGCUAUUUCUAAACUUGACUUUGGAAUGCAGGUGGUAUUGUUUCUGCUAUUUCCAAGUGUCAUAAUUCUGUGCUACGUAAUGAGCACUAUAAAAUAAGUAAAAAUGACCAGUCUUAGCGAAAGGACUAUUGAUUGCUAACACAAUUAUCCACUGAGGAUUUUCGCUGCAAGGGGCUCUGAGGGAGGAGAUGACGCGCCUGCUGCCCAGUGAAGAGCUUCAGGACUUGGCUGAAGGCCACUUCCCGGGACAGACCUCCAGAGAAGCAGGCAAAUGAAUGGCAGUUUCUGGAACAUGGCAGAAAUUCAAGAAAGCAGGACGAGAGUGGAUGCUAACUGCUAAUAGGAUCAAAUGCCAAAGAAAAUGGUCUAAGUAAAGAACACCCCAGCGGAAACACGUCCUGGGGGAGCUGGUACAUCGAGCGUGGACGCGGGCUGCAUUGCUAUUUGGUCUAAGGCCGUGGUGCUCCAACGUUUUACUUUUUUAAGGAGUAGAACUCUUUCUUCAAAUUGAAACAAAAGCAGAGCUCUGAUUAAAACUGAGGUCAGCGGUCUGGAGCCCCACUACCCAGUCCCACUGACUUUGGAGGUGAUUCCAAAGCCCCUCUUUAGAACUAGGAAGAUGGGCGAUCGUUUGGAAAUCUCCCCUGAUCCAACCCCCACUGGUUCCUAGCAUCACUGCCAGCAAGUACAGUAAUAUUUAUGAAGACACUUGUCCUAGACUGCCUGAACGCACGUGUGGAGUUACAAUAUCUAAUAAAUAAUGGAAUCUGAUUUUUUUUUCUAAGAAACUUUCUCAAAUUCUUGCAAAGUUCCUACGUGCUGUUCCUUUUAUUUUUUCUCAGCUCCAGCACCCAGACACCCAAUGUUAGGAGCGUCAAUGUCACCUUCUUCAGCAUCUCUCUCAAUUAUUCAUCUAUUACUCAAAUACCUAAUUAGUAAUUAGUUAUACACAUAUGUGUGUAUACUAUGAUAGGCAAUUGGGAAACAAAUUGGAAUAAGGCAUAAUCUGUGCUCCCCAAGAAACUUGGAAUCUAACAGAGAUGAAAACUGAUAGAAGAUGCAUAGAUAUUAUGGACACCCAGAGAAAGGACAUAUAAAUUAGCCUGAUGACAGUGAACAGAGGUCAAGGAACACUUUCCAGAGAAAUGACAUUUGACCAAGUAUUGAACGAGAAACAGGAUUAAAAUAAAAACAAAUGAUUUGCUAGAGAGAUGGGCAAAGUCCAGAUUGUGAAAAAGUUUGUGCUUUUCCUCUUGUAUUUAUGUGACAUUCUCAAC